CAAUAGCGUAUAUUUAAGUUGUUGCAGUUAAAAAGCUCGUAGUUGGAUUUCGGGUGGGACGCAGCGGUCUCGCAUUGCGUUUGUACUGCUGCAGCCCUCCUUCUUGCCGGGGGCGGCCUCUCGGACUUCACUGUCUGGGGGUCAGAAUCGGCGAUGUUACUUUGAGUAAAUUAGAGUGUUCAAAGCAAGCUUACGCUCUGAAUAUAAUAGCAUGGGAUAACACGACAGGACUUUGGCCUAUCGUGUUGGUCUAUAGGACCAGAGUAAUGAUUAAGAGGGACAGUCGGGGGCAUUCGUAUUCCGUUGUCAGAGGUGAAAUUCUUGGAUUUACGGAAGACGAACAUCUGCGAAAGCAUUUGCCAAGGAUGUUUUCAUUGA
rnacentral:rRNA from 1 species